ACUCCCGGGAGGCAGCAGUGGGGAAUUUUGGACAAUGGGCGAAAGCCUGAUCCAGCAAUGCCGCGUGAGUGAAGAAGGCCUUCGGGUUGUAAAGCUCUUUUGUCAGGGAAGAAACGGUGAAAGCUAAUAUCUUUUGCUAAUGACGGUACCUGAAGAAUAAGCACCGGCUAACUACGUGCCAGCAGCCGCGGUAAUACGUAGGGUGCAAGCGUUAAUCGGAAUUACUGGGCGUAAAGCGUGCGCAGGCGGUUUUGUAAGUCUGAUGUGAAAUCCCCGGGCUCAACCUGGGAAUUGCAUUGGAGACUGCAAGGCUAGAAUCUGGCAGAGGGGGGUAGAAUUCCACGUGUAGCAGUGAAAUGCGUAGAUAUGUGGAGGAACACCGAUGGCGAAGGCAGCCCCCUGGGUCAAGAUUGACGCUCAUGCACGAAAGCGUGGGGAGCAAACAGGAUUAGAAACCCUAGUAGUCC
rnacentral:rRNA from 1 species